AGUGAACGCUGGCGGUAGGCCUAACACAUGCAAGUCGAACGGCAGCACAGUAAGAGCUUGCUCUUACGGGUGGCGAGUGGCGGACGGGUGAGGAAUAUAUCGUAAUCUACUUUUUCGUGGGGGAUCACGUAGCGAAACUUACGCUAAUACCGCAUACGAUCUACGGGUGAAAGCAGUGGAUCUUCGGACCUUGCGCGAUUGAAUGAGCCGAUGUCGGAGUAGCUGGUUGGCGGGGUAAAGGCCCACCAAGGCGACGAUCCGUAGCUGGUCUGAGAGGAUGGUCAGCCACACUGGAACUGAGACACGGUCCAGACUCCUACGGGAGGCAGCAGUGGGGAAUGUUGGACAAUGGGCGCAAGCCUGAUCCAGCCAUACCGCGUGGGUGAAGAAGGCCUUCGGGUUGUGAAGCCCUUUUGUUGGGAAAGAAAAGCAGCAGGUUAAUACCACGCUGUUCUGACGGUACCCAAAGAAUAAGCACCGGCUAACUUCGUG
rnacentral:rRNA from 1 species